rnacentral:lncRNA from 1 species
AGCCGGUCCACAUCAAGAACCAAAUGAUCACCCAUUUAUUUAUUUGUACAAUUAGGGAGCCUGAGAUAGCCCUAUCAAACACAAACACAACAAAGAUAUAAUCUUUCUCGAAAUGCAAGAACCCAAACAAGAAAAGCUCGAGACAGCUUAUAAAUCACAAAAACAGACAAAGAUACAAUCUUUUUCUCAAAAUGCAAGUUCCCAAAACAACGAAAAGCCUGAGAAACCCUUCUGAAUAAAACUCAACAAAUAUAAAACCUUUUUGUCAAAAUACAAGAACCCAAAACAUAGAAAAACCUGAGAAAGCCCUCUGAAUCACAAACACAGCAAAGAUACAAUCUUUUUCUCUAAAUUUCUCUAAAUGCAAGUUCCCAAACAAAAAAAAGCCUGAGACACAGCUCUAUUAAUCACAAACACAACAAAGAUACAAUCUUUUUCUCGAAAUGCAAGUACCCAAACAAAGAAAAGCCUGAGAUAAGCUCUACAAAUCAAAUGCACAGCAAAGCUAUGAUCUUUUUCUCAGAAUGCUUGAACCCAGAACAAAUAAAAAAGAAAUAAUUACACCCAAAUAAAGAAAGAGGAUAAAACAAGAAACAAGAAGGGAGAUUAAAUUUAUAAUCGAUGAAAGUACCUGGGAAUGAAUGAAAGAAACAGAUAAACGGGGAAGGAGACAAGAAGCGCGUUGGGGCCCACGGAGAAAGGGUCUUUUUCUUCUUGUUAAAACGUAUUUUAUCCUCCCUCUCUCUCUCUAAAAAAGAAGGAAGAUCACUUCACCUUUUUGUCAUUCCGCGUUUGUCAUCCUUUUAUAUUCACCCUCUUGCCAUGACCUCUAAU